CUGUUUUGUUAAUUUUUCUGUUGCUUUCAAGUCUACAAGGUUGAUUUUGAUUAAGACAUUUGAUGCCUUUAAGUUAUUGUAAUUGUGAAUUUAAGUUAUUGAUUCUGCCACCUUUUUACAUCUGUCUGUUGGUUUUUAUUUUAUACAGUCUGAGUAUUGUAUGGUCAGAAAGAGAACGAGAGAAAAGCUGGGGUCUUUUUAGUGUUCUCACCCUGUGGUGUAUUUUUUUUUUCUCUCUAGACUAUUGCUGUUUAAAAAAAAAAAUCAAACUGUGCCCGAUAUAUUAUUUCAGGCCAAUCUUGAGUGUCGUUCACCCUCAAAUACGCAAACUACAUUUGUUAUAAAUUUGUGGAUUUAUAAAAUCCUGCCGACAGGUAUUUGGAGGGCUUGAGUUUUGUUGUUAACUUUCUCUGUACAGCUAGUGAGCAACUGACGGUCCAUUGAUUGUUUCUCAGUAUUGUGUAUUAUAUUUUUACAUCUGCCCUGUUCCUUUCCAGGCAUUGAAAAUCUAGUUAUGAUUUACAAGUAUUGCAGUCCUUUUAUUUUUACGUUUAUUUUUUCCAUCAUUGGCAUCUUUUUACGUUGGGGUCCCUGGGAAUCUAUAAUAGGUUUUGAAAAAUAUACACAUAAUCCAACUGCAAGAAAAUAAAUGCAAACAUUUAAACUCCA